rnacentral:tRNA from 1 species
AUGUCAGUAGUUUAAAUGGCAAAACAUUAGUCUUCCAAACUUAGAAAGCAAGUUCAAUUCUUGCCUGACAUA